rnacentral:rRNA from 1 species
CCCUAGUAACUGCGAGUGAAGAGGGAAAAGCUCAAAUUUAAAAUCUGGCAGUCUCUGGCUGUCCGAGUUGUAAAUUGGAGAAGUGUUAUCCGCGCUGGCCUGUGCAUAAGUCUCUUGGAAAAGGGCAUCAUAGAGGGUGACAAUCCCGUCUUUGGCACAGACUACCAGAGCUUUUGUGAUGCGCUCUCAAAGAGUCGAGUUGUUUGGGAAUGCAGCUCCAAAUGGGUGGUAAAUUCCAUCUAAAGCUAAAUAUUGGCGAGAGACCGAUAGCGCACAAGUACCGUGAGGGAAAGAUGAAAAGAACUUUGGAAAGAGAGUUAAACAGUACGUGAAAUUGUUGAAAGGGAAACGCUUGAAGUCAGUCAUGUCUCAUUGAAAUCAACCUGGCACUUGUGUCUGGUGUACUUUCUGUGGAACAGGUCAGCAUCAGUUUUGACCGCUGGAGAAAGGCCUUGGGAAUGUGGCAUCUUUUUUAAGAUGUGUUAUAGCCCUUGGACCACAUACAGUGGUUGGGACUGAGGCACUCGGUGUAUGAUCAGCUCUAGGGCUUUU